rnacentral:rRNA from 1 species
AUUGAACGCUGGCGGCAUGCCUUACACAUGCAAGUCGAACGGUAACAGGCCUUCGGAUGCUGACGAGUGGCGAACGGGUGAGUAAUACAUCGGAACGUGCCCGAUCGUGGGGGAUAACGGAGCGAAAGCUUUGCUAAUACCGCAUACGAUCUACGGAUGAAAGCAGGGGACCGCAAGGCCUUGCGCGGACGGAGCGGCCGAUGGCAGAUUAGGUAGUUGGUGGGAUAAAAGCUUACCAAGCCGACGAUCUGUAGCUGGUCUGAGAGGACGACCAGCCACACUGGGACUGAGACACGGCCCAGACUCCUACGGGAGGCAGCAGUGGGGAAUUUUGGACAAUGGGCGCAAGCCUGAUCCAGCCAUGCCGCGUGCAGGAUGAAGGCCUUCGGGUUGUAAACUGCUUUUGUACGGAACGAAAAGACUCUUUCUAAUAAAGAGGGUCCAUGACGGUACCGUAAGAAUAAGCACCGGCUAACUACGUG